rnacentral:rRNA from 1 species
AACGCGUGCCCAGUGACANUAAACGGCCGCGGUAUCCUAACCGUGCAAAGGUAGCGUAAUCACUUGUCUAUUAAUUGUAGACCCGUAUGAAAGGCAAAAUGAGGGUUUAACUGUCUCUUAUGGUAAAUCAAUUAAACUGAUCUCCCAGUAAAAAAGCUAGAAUAUUCACAUAAGACCAGAAGANCCUGUGANGCUUAAACUAAACUAUUAAACCACAUAAUAACUACUUUAGGUUGGGGCGACCUUGGAAAAAAAAAGAACUUCCAAACACAUGUGGCUAUACACCACACCCACACAUAGGCCUACAAGCCUAAAACUUGACCCAGCAUAGCUGAUAAUUGAACCAAGUUACUCCAGGGAUAACAGCGCCAUCUUCUUCAAGAGCCCAUAUCAAAAAGAAGGUUUACGACCUCGAUGUUGGAUCAGGACAUCCUAAUGGUGCAGCCGCUAUUAAGGGUUCGUUUGUUCAACGAUUAACAGUCCCACGUGAUCU